GACGAACGCUGGCGGCGUGCUUAACACAUGCAAGUCGAACGAAGUGGCGAACGGGUGAGUAACGCGUAAUCAACCUGACCUUCAGUGGGGGACAACAGUUGGAAACGACUGCUAAUACCGCAUACUGAAGGAGGGGAUUGCGUCUGAUUAGCUAGUGGGAGGGGUAACGGCCGACCAAGGCGAUGAUCAGUAGCCUGGCUGAGAGGAUGUACGGCCAGAUUGGGACUGGGACCCGGCCCAGACUCGUACGGGAGGCAGCAGGGGGGAUUCUGGCGCAAUGGACGAAAGUCUGACGGAGCAACGCCGCGUGAGUGAUGACGGCCUUCGGGUUGGAAAGCUCUGUUAAUCAGGACGCGGUACCGGAAUAGAAAGCCACGGCUAACUACGUGCCAGCAGCCGCGGUAAUAC
rnacentral:rRNA from 1 species